rnacentral:tRNA from 4 species
GGAAGGUUACCCUAACUGGUAAGGAACCGGUCUUGAAAACCGGCGUCGCAAGACUUCAGAGUUCGAGUCUCUGACCUUCCGCCA